GACGAACGCUGGCGGCGUGCUUAACACAUGCAAGUCGAGCGGAAAGGCCCUUCGGGGUACUCGAGCGGCGAACGGGUGAGUAACACGUGAGUAACCUGCCCCAGACUUUGGGAUAACCCUCGGAAACGGGGGCUAAUACCGGAUACGACACAGCUUCGCAUGGGGUCUGUGUGGAAAGUUUUUCGGUUUGGGAUGGGCUCGCGGCCUAUCAGCUUGUUGGUGGGGUGAUGGCCUACCAAGGCGACGACGGGUAGCCGGCCUGAGAGGGCGACCGGCCACAAUGGGACUGAGACACGGCCCAGACUCCUACGGGAGGCAGCAGUGGGGAAUAUUGCACAAUGGGCGGAAGCCUGAUGCAGCGACGCCGCGUGAGGGAUGACGGCCUUCGGGUUGUAAACCUCUUUCAGCAGGGACGAAGCGUAAGUGACGGUACCUGCAGAAGAAGCGCCGGCCAACUACGUG
rnacentral:rRNA from 1 species